GUGGGGAAUCUUCCGCAAUGGACGAAAGUCUGACGGAGCGACGCCGCGUGAGUGAAGAAGGCCUUCGGGUCGUAAAGCUCUGUCAUCAGGGACGAACGGCCGGUGGAGUGGAAAGCCACCGGAUUGACGGUACCUGAGAAGGAAGCCACGGCUAACUACGUGCCAGCAGCCGCGGUAAUACGUAGGUGGCAAGCGUUGUCCGGAAUUAUUGGGCGUAAAGCGCGCGCAGGUGGGAUCUUAAGUCCAUUUUGAAAGUUCGGAGCUCAACUCCGUGAUGGGAUGGAAACUGGGAUUCUUGAGUACCGGAGAGGAAAGCGGAAUUCCCCGUGUAGCGGUGAAAUGCGUAGAGAUCGGGAGGAACACCAGUGGCGAAGGCGGCUUACUGGACUGUAACUGACGCUGAGGCGCGAAAGUGUGGGGAGCAAACAGGAUUAGAUACCCGUGUAGUCC
rnacentral:rRNA from 1 species